AUACGAAAGGUGCGAGCGUUAAUCGGAAUUACUGGGCGUAAAGCGCGCGUAGGCGGCUGCUUAAGUCUGAUGUGAAAUCCCCGGGCUCAACCUGGGAAUGGCAUCGGAUACUGGGUAGCUAGAGUGCAGUAGAGGAAGGUGGAAUUCCAGGUGUAGCGGUGAAAUGCGUAGAGAUCUGGAGGAACACCAGUGGCGAAGGCGGCCUUCUGGACUGACACUGACGCUGAGGUGCGAAAGCGUGGGGAUCAAACAGGAUUAGAUACCCUGGUAGUCCACGCCGUAAACGAUGUCUACUAGCCGUUGGUGCCCUUAGUGGUGCUGGUGGCGCAGCUAACGCAAUAAGUAGACCGCCUGGGGAGUACGGCCGCAAGGUUAAA
rnacentral:rRNA from 1 species